rnacentral:rRNA from 1 species
AGAGUUUGAUCCUGGCUCAGAACGAACGCUGGCGGCAUGCCUAACACAUGCAAGUCGAACGAAGGCUUCGGCCUUAGUGGCGCACGGGUGCGUAACGCUGGGAACCUGCCCUUGGUUCGGAAUAACAGUUAGAAAUGACUGCUAAUACCGGAUAAUGACUUCGGUCCAAAGAUUUAUCGCCGAGGGAUGGGCCCGCGUAGGAUUAGCUUGUUGGUGGGGUAAAGGCCUACCAAGGCGACGAUCCUUAGCUGGUCUGAGGGGAUGAUCAGCCACACUGGGACUGAGACACGGCCCAGACUCCUACGGGAGGCAGCAGUGGGGAAUAUUGGACAAUGGGCGAAAGCCUGAUCCAGCAAUGCCGCGUGAGUGAUGAAGGCCUUAGGGUUGUAAAGCUCUUUUACCAGGGAUGAUAAUGACAGUACCUGGAGAAUAAGCUCCGGCUAACUCCGUG